rnacentral:rRNA from 1 species
AGUGGGAUGACGUCAAGUCAGCAUGGCCCUUAUAUCCCUGGGCUACACACACGCUACAAUGGGAAGGGACAAUAGGUUGCGAAGCCGCGAGGCGGAGCCAAUCCAGCAAAACUUCCCUCAGUUCAGAUUGCAGGCUGCAACUCGCCUGCAUGAAGUUGGAGUUGCUAGUAAACGCAGGUCAGCCAUACUGCGUUGAAUACGUUCCCGGGGCUU